rnacentral:misc_RNA from 1 species
GAACUGCGAUAAGUAAUGUGAAUUGCAGAAUUCAGUGAAUCAUCGAGUCUUUGAACGCACAUUGCGCCCCCUGGCAUUCCGGGGGGCAUGCCUGUCCGAGCGUCAUUGCUGCCCUUCAAGCCCGGCUUGUGUGUUGGGUCGCCGUCCCCUCCGGGGGACGGGCCCGAAAGGCAGCGGCGGCACCGCGUCCGGUCCUCGAGCGUAUGGGGCUUUGUCACCCGCUCGAUAAGGACCGGCCGGGCGCCAGCCGGCGUCUCCAACCUUUUUUUCUCAGGUUGACCUCGGAUCAGGUAGGGAUACCCGCUGAACUUAAGC